rnacentral:rRNA from 1 species
GACGAACCUCACAAACGUUAUUCGGAUUUACUGGGCUUAAAGGGUGCGUAGGCGGCCAUGUAAGUGAGGUGUGAAAUCCCUCGGCUCAACCGAGGAACUGCGCUUCAUACUGCAUGGCUUGAGGGAGACAGGGGUCAGCGGAACUGAUGGUGGAGCGGUGAAAUGCGUAGAUAUACUGGAGGAACACCGGUGGCGAAGGCGGCAUCCUGGACCGGCAUUGACGCUGAGGCGCGAAAGCUAGGGGAGCAAACGGG